AAAUCCAAAACCAAAUAUAGAUCGUGAAACUCAACAACUUCAUAGGGUUAGUGUCUGAUGCUAAUUAUUUAUUAAAAAAAAAAAAGUAGCUCCUUUAAGCUUUUAGAACAUGGCGGGAAAUCAUUUCCUCCUGUCUAAAUUGGUUUGGACUCUAGAAGGGCUAAGGAUGACUCAAUAAGGAGUCGACAUUAUCUUCAACAAAUCAAAG
rnacentral:lncRNA from 1 species